CCAAUAGCGUAUAUUAAAGUUGUUGCAGUUAAAAAGCUCGUAGUUGAACUUCGGGGUUCACCCAUUGGCCAGGCUUAAUUGUCUGUACUGGUGAGAUGAGUCUCUACCUUCUGAGGAACUUUCAUGCCAUUUAUUUGGUGUGGUUGGAAAUCAGGACUGUUACUUUGAAAAAAUUAGAGUGUUUAAAGCAGGCUAACGUCUGAAUACAUUAGCAUGGAAUAAUGAAAUAGGACGGAUUGAUUCUAUUUCGUUGGUUUCUAGGGUCACCGUAAUGAUUAAUAGGGGUAGUUGGGGGCAUUAGUAUUCAAUUGUCAGAGGAGAAAUUCUUGGAUUUAUUGAAGACUAACUACUGCGAAAGAAUUUGCCAAGGAUGUUUUCAUUAAUCAAGAACGAAAGUUAGGGGAUCGAAGACGAUCAGAUACCGUCGUAGUCUUAACCAUAAACUAUGCCGACUAGGGAUCGGACGCAGUUAAUUUUAUAAUGACGUGUUCGGCACCUUACG
rnacentral:misc_RNA from 1 species